GGGAGGUAGUGACAAUAAAUAACAAUACAGGGUUCUUUUGGAUCUUGUAAUUGGAAUGAGUACAAUUUAAAUCUCUUAACGAGGAACAAUUGGAGGGCAAGUCUGGUGCCAGCAGCCGCGGUAAUUCCAGCUCCAAUAGCGUAUAUUAAAGUUGUUGCAGUUAAAAAGCUCGUAGUUGAAUUUCGGGAUCAAUAUAUCGGUCGUGCCUUGGUACGUACUGGUAUCAUUGGUUUCUCCUUUCUGACGAACCAUGAUGUCAUUAAUUUGGUGUUAUGGGAAGUUAGGACUGUUACUUUGAAAAAAUUAGAGUGUUUAAAGCAGGCUUUAGCUUGAAUACAUUAGCAUGGAAUAAUGAAAUAGGACGUUCGAACCUAUUUUGUUGGUUUCUAGGAUCAACGUAAUGAUUAAUAGGGAUAGUUGGG
rnacentral:rRNA from 1 species